GGUGGUAGCAAAUGAUAAGGAAGAGAAGCCAGAGAAGCCUUUGGUGAUAAGGGCAAGGAGGAGGUAGAUUCACUGACGGUGUGGGGCCCGUGGACGGUGUCUUGCCCACAGGUCCACCAAAGCCUGGAGCCAGCUCUGAUCUCUGAUCUGCGUCCCAUUAAAGCAGCCAUAGACGGGGAUGGUGAACAAAAUUUAAGCACAAAGUCAGUGUUUUCCAAGCACAUUUCAAACAUUUACUUGAGAUUUUACUUUCACCGUUUUCAUCUCAACACACACAGAGACAAAUCAGGCCUCUCCAAGGCAUUUCGCUGCUCCAAAGAGCUCAAACAGCGCCUUGCAACACCAGAGAAGAUGCUGAAGUAUGUGGCCGGAUAUAAGGAAAACUCUGGCUCCUCAUGGCUGAAGUAGGCCUGAAUGUCUUUCCUGAGGGCAGUCAAUUUCGACUUAUGGCGACCCUAUGAAUCAGCGACCUCCGAGAGCAUCUGUUGUGAACCACCCUGUUCAGAUCUUGUAAGUUCAGGCCUGUGGCUUCCUUUAUGGAAUCAAUCCAUCUCUUGUGUGGUCUUCCUCUUUUUCUACUCCCUUCUCUUUUUCCCAGCAUUAUUAUCUUUUCUAGUGAAUCAUGUACUCUCAUUAUGUGUCCAAAGUAUGAUAACCUCAGUUUCAUAAUUGUAGCCUCUAAUGAUAGUGCUGGUUGAAUUUGUUCCCAAUUAACACCCAAUUAUUUGUCUUUUGCGCUGUCCAUGGUACCCACAAAGCUCUCUUCCAACACCACAUUUCAAAUGAGUUUAUUUUUCUCUUAUCUGCUUUUUUCACUGUCCAACUUUCACAUCCAUACACAGAGACCAGGAAUACCAUGGUCUAAAUGAUCCUGACUGUAGUGUUCAGUGAUACAUCUUUGCAUUUGAGGACCUUUUCCAGUUCUCUCACAGCGGCCCUCCCCAGUCCUAGCCUUCUU